GAUCCUGGCUCAGGACGAACGCUGGCGGCGUGCUUAACACAUGCAAGUCGAACGAGAAUCUGCGGAUAGAGGAUUCGUCCAAUUGAAGCAGAGGACAGUGGCGGACGGGUGAGUAACGCGUGAGGAACCUGCCUUUCAGAGGGGGACAACAGUUGGAAACGACUGCUAAUACCGCAUGACACAUAUUGAUCGCAUGGUCGAUAUGUCAAAGAUUUAUCGCUGAAAGA
rnacentral:rRNA from 1 species